rnacentral:RNase_P_RNA from 12 species
UUUAUGUCAGUUCACUGUACAGAAAGUUUCUCACAAGUGAUAUAUGAGAGAGGGGUGAGGGGUGGAGAGGUUACAUGAAUUCAACGAGAGAAAAAGAAAGGGAACCCAAUAUUUCUUUCUUUUUUUUUCAUUACUAAUGUCGUAUUAUAGUAAAAACACAAGAAGAAGAAAAAAGCUUAAAUAUUCUUCUAAAAUAUCUUUUGGGUAUACUUAUAUGUGGAUUUUGAAUCUGAUGCCGUGUGUGUGGGUGGGGUUGGGCAAUAUUAAAGUUCUUUUCAUUUCCCAGGAUUUUGGCAUCUCGUAUGAUUUACUGUUCUUUUGAUUAUCGAAAUUUACCAUGGUUGGUGGAGGGUUUUU